CAAUGGGCGGAAGCCUGACGCAGCGACGCCGCGUGGGGGAUGACGGCCUUCGGGUUGUAAACCUCUUUCGCCAGGGACGAAGAGCGAUUGACGGUACCUGGAGAAGAAGCACCGGCCAACUACGUGCCAGCAGCCGCGGUAACACGUAGGGUGCGAGCGUUGUCCGGAAUUAUUGGGCGUAAAGAGCUCGUAGGCGGUGUGUCGCGUCGGCCGUGAAAACUUGGGGCUUAACUCUGAGCGUGCGGUCGAUACGGGCAUCACUUGAGUUCGGCAGGGGAGACUGGAAUUCCUGGUGUAGCGGUGAAAUGCGCAGAUAUCAGGAGGAACACCGGUGGCGAAGGCGGGUCUCUGGGCCGAUACUGACGCUGAGGAGCGAAAGCGUGGGGAGCGAACAGGAUUAGAUACCCUGGUAGUCCACGCCGUAAACGUUGGGCGCUAGGUGUGGGGACCAUUCCACGGUUUCUGUGCCGCAGCUAACGCAUUAAGCGCCCCGCCUGGGGAGUACGGCCGCAAGGCUAAAACUCAAAGGAAUUGACGGGGGCCCGCACAAGCGGCGGAGCAUGUGGAUUAAUUCGAUGCAACGCGAAGAACCUUACCUGGGUUUGACAUGCACCAGACAUCCCUAGAGAUAGGGCUUCCCUUGUGGUUGGUGUGCAGGUG
rnacentral:rRNA from 1 species